rnacentral:rRNA from 1 species
CCAUGCCAGCAGCCGCGGUAAUACGGAGGAUGCAAGCGUUAUCCGGAUUCAUUGGGUUUAAAGGGUGCGCAGGCUGUAAAGCAAGUCAGUGGUGAAAGCCCUGGGCUUAACUCAGGGAUUGCCAUUGAAACUGUUUUACUAGAGUGUAGUAGAGGACGGCGGAAUGAGUUGUGUAGCGGUGAAAUGCAUAGAUAUAACUCAGAACACCUAUUGCGUAGGCAGCUGUCUAUACUACAACUGACGCUGAGGCACGAAAGCGUGGGGAGCGAACAGGAUUAGAUACCCUGGUAGUCCACGCUGUAAACGAUGAUCACUCGUUGUUGGCUACUUAGUAGUCAGUGACCAAGGGAAACCGAUAAGUGAUCCACCUGGGGAGUACGUCGGCAACGAUGAAACUCAAAGGAAUUGACGGGGGCCCGCACAAGCGGAGGAACAUGUGGUUUAAUUCGAUGAUACGCGAGGAACCUUACCUGGGCUUAAAUGCUGGCUGCAUUGGAGGGAAACCUUCAUUUCCUACGGGACCGCCAGCAAGGUGCUGCAUGGUUGUCGUCAGCUCGUGCCGUGAGGUGUCGGGUUAAGUCCCACAACGAGCGCAACCCCUAUCGCUAGUUGCCAGCAUGUAAUGGUGGGGACUCUAGCGAGACUGCCGGUGUAAACCGGAGGAAGGUGGGGAUGACGUCAAAUCAGCACGGCCCUUACGUCCAGGGCUACACACGUGUUACAAUGGCCGGUACAAAGAGCAGCCACCUGGCGACAGGGCGCUAAUCUCUAAAACCGGUCUCAGUUCGGAUCGAAGUCUGCAAUUCGACUUCGUGAAGGUGGAUUCGCU